rnacentral:rRNA from 1 species
CGGCCUUCGGGUUGUAAACCUCUUUUAGUAGGGAAGAAGCGUAACAGUGACGGUACCUGCAGAAAAAGCACCGGCUAACUACGUGCCAGCAGCCGCGGUAAUACGUAGGGUGCAAGCGUUGUCCGGAAUUAUUGGGCGUAAAGAGCUCGUAGGCGGUUUGUCGCGUCUGCUGUGAAAACCCGAGGCUCAACCUCGGGCCUGCAGUGGGUACGGGCAGACUAGAGUGCGGUAGGGGAGAUUGGAAUUCCUGGUGUAGCGGUGGAAUGCGCAGAUAUCAGGAGGAACACUAAUGGCGAAGGCAGAUCUCUGGGCCGUAACUGACGCUGAGGAGCGAAAGCAUGGGGAGCGAACAGGAUUAGAUACCCUGGUAGUCCAUGCCGUAAACGUUGGGAACUAGAUGUGGGGACCAUUCCACGGUCUCCGUGUCGCAGCUAACGCAUUAAGUUCCCCGCCUGGGGAGUACGGCCGCAAGGCUAAAACUCAAAGGAAUUGACGGAAUCACUA